rnacentral:tRNA from 3 species
UUGGUAGAGCACGACCUUGCCAAGGUCGGGGUCGCGAGUUCGAGUCUCGUUUCCCGCUCCA